rnacentral:rRNA from 1 species
UACGAAGGGGGCUAGCGUUGUUCGGAAUUACUGGGCGUAAAGCGCGCGUAGGCGGCUUUGCAAGUCGGGUGUGAAAUCCCCAGGCUUAACCUGGGAACUGCAUUCGAGACUGCAUUGCUAGAGUAUGGGAGAGGGCAGUGGAAUUUCCGGUGUAGCGGUGAAAUGCGUAGAUAUCGGAAGGAACAUCAGUGGCGAAAGCGACUGCCUGGACCAAUACUGACGCUCAUGUGCGAAAGCGUGGGGAGCAAACAGG